rnacentral:tRNA from 1 species
GACUCCGUAGCCCAGUUGGAAGAGCGGGUCUCUCCUAAAGACCAGGUCGUGAGUUCGAAUCUCACCGGAGCCA